GACGAACGCUGGCGGCGUGCUUAACACAUGCAAGUCGAACGGUAAGGCCCCAGCUUGCUGGGGUACACGAGUGGCGAACGGGUGAGUACACGUGGGUGACCUGCCCCGCACUUCGGGAUAAGCCUGGGAAACUGGGUCUAAUACCGGAUAGGACCGCACCGUGAGGGUGUGGUGGAAAGUUUUUCGGUGUGGGAUGGGCCCGCGGCCUAUCAGCUUGUUGGUGGGGUAAUGGCCUACCAAGGCGGCGACGGGUAGCCGGCCUGAGAGGGUGGACGGCCACAUUGGGACUGAGACACGGCCCAGACUCCUACGGGAGGCAGCAGUGGGGAAUAUUGCACAAUGGGCGGAAGCCUGAUGCAGCGACGCCGCGUGGGGGAUGACGGCCUUCGGGUUGUAAACUCCUUUCACCAUCGACGAAGGUUUUCUGACGGUAGAUGGAGAAGAAGCACCGGCUAACUACGUG
rnacentral:rRNA from 1 species